rnacentral:rRNA from 1 species
UGGGGAAUCUUGCGCAAUGGGCGAAAGCCUGACGCAGCGACGCCGCGUGAGUGAUGAAGGCCUUCGGGUUGUAAAGCUCUGUGGAGGGGGACGAAUAAGGGCCGUCGAAUAGACGGCUCGAUGACGGUACCCCUUUAGCAAGCACCGGCUAACUCUGUGCCAGCAGCCGCGGUAAGACAGAGGGUGCAAACGUUGUUCGGAAUUACUGGGCGUAAAGCGCGUGUAGGCGGCUCGGCAAGUCGGGUGUGAAAGCCCUGGGCUUAACCUAGGAAGUGCACUCGAAACUGCCAAGCUUGAGUUCUGGAGAGGAAGGCGGAAUUCUCGGUGUAGAGGUGAAAUUCGUAGAUAUCGAGAGGAACACCGGUGGCGAAGGCGGCCUUCUGGACAGCAACUGACGCUGAGACGCGAAAGCGUGGGGAGCAAACAGG